rnacentral:rRNA from 1 species
GCCGGCAGCUAGCUCUCUGCAACUCUCACAUGGUCGCCCACUGAAGCUAAGCAGGGCUGCGUGCGCUCAGUACCUGGAUGGGAGACCAUAUGGGAAAGCUAGGUUGCUGCCGUAA